CGAACGUUGGCGAUGCGUCUUAAGCAUGCAAGUCGAGCGGGCUUAUUCGGGCAACUGGAUAAGUUAGCGGCGAACUGGUGAGUAACACGUAGGUAAUCUGCCGUGAAGUGGGGGAUAACCCAUGGAAACAUGGACUAAUACCGCAUAUACUCUUGCUACAUAAGUAGAGUAGAGGAAAGUUUUUUCGCUUCACGAUGAGCCUGCGGCCUAUUAGCCUGUUGGUAGGGUAAUGGCCUACCAAAGCUACGAUAGGUAGCCGACCUGAGAGGGUGACCGGCCACAUUGGGACUGAGAUACGGCCCAGACUCCUACGGGAGGCAGCAGCUGAGAAUCUUCCACAAUGGACGAAAGUCUGAUGGAGCGACAUCGCGUGAGGGAUGAAGGCCUUCGGGUUGUAAACCUCGGAAAUUAUCGAAGAAUGAGUGACAGUAGAUAAUGUAAGCCUCGGCUAACUACGUGCCAGCAGCCGCGGUAAUACGUAGGAGGCAAACGUUGCUCGGAUUUACUGGGCGUAAAGGGUGAGUAGGCGGAUUUAUAAGUCUAAGGUGAAAGACCGAAGCUCAACUUCGGGAACGCCUCGGAUACUGUAAGUCUUGGAUAUUGUAGGGGAUGAUGGAAUUCUCGGUGUAGCGGUGGAAUGCGCAGAUAUCGAGAGGAACACCUAUAGCGAAGGCAGUCAUCUGGGCAUUUAUCGACGCUGAAUCACGAAAGCUAGGGGAGCAAACAGGCUUAGAUACCCUGGUAGUCCUAGCCGUAAACGUUGUACACUAGGUGCUUCUAUUUAAAUAGGAGUGCCGUAGCUAACGUCUUAAGUGUACCGCCUGAGGAGUAUGCCCGCAAGGGUGAAACUCAAAGAAAUUGACGGGUCCCCGCACAAGUGGUGGAGCAUGUGGUUUAAUUCGAUGAUACGCGAAAAACCUUACCUGGGUUUGAAUUGUUAGAUGAAUGAUUUAGAGAUAAGUCAGACCGCAAGGACGUUUAACAUAGGUGCUGCAUGGCUGUCGUCAGCUCGUGUCGUGAGAUGUUGGGUUAAGUCCCGCAACGAGCGCAACCCUCACCCUCUGUUGCUACCGAGUAAUGUCGAGCACUCUUAGGGGACUGCCUACGUUCAAGUAGGAGGAAGGUGGGGAUGAAUGUCAAGUCCUCAUGGCCCUUAUGUCCAGGGCUACACACGUGCUACAAUGGCAAGUACAAAGAGAAGCAAGACCGCGAGGUGGAGCAAAACUCAAAAAAGUUGCCUCAGUUCGGAUUGGAGUCUGAAACUCGACUCCAUGAAGUUGGAAUCACUAGUAAUCGUAGAUCAGAACGCUACGGUGAAUACGUUCCCGGGGAUUGUACACACCGCCCGUCACGCCAUCGGAGUUGGUUUUACCUGAAGCCGUUAGCCUAACCGCAAGGAGGGCGGCGUCGAAGGUGG
rnacentral:rRNA from 1 species